GAUGAACGCUGGCGGCGUGCCUAAUACAUGCAAGUCGAGCGAACAGAUGAGGAGCUUGCUCCUCUGACGUUAGCGGCGGACGGGUGAGUAACACGUGGAUAACCUACCUAUAAGACUGGGAUAACUUCGGGAAACCGGAGCUAAUACCGGAUAAUAUAUUGAACCGCAUGGUUCAAUAGUGAAAGACGGUUUUGCUGUCACUUAUAGAUGGAUCCGCGCCGCAUUAGCUAGUUGGUAAGGUAACGGCUUACCAAGGCAACGAUGCGUAGCCGACCUGAGAGGGUGAUCGGCCACACUGGAACUGAGACACGGUCCAGACGCCUACGGGAGGCAGCAGUAGGGAAUCUUCCGCAAUGGGCGAAAGCCUGACGGAGCAACGCCGCGUGAGUGAUGAAGGUCUUCGGAUCGUAAAACUCUGUUAUUAGGGAAGAACAAAUGUGUAAGUAACUAUGCACGUCUGGACGGUACCUAAUCAGAAAGCCAUGGCUAACUACGG
rnacentral:rRNA from 1 species